rnacentral:rRNA from 1 species
GAUGAACGCUGGCGGCGUGCUUAACACAUGCAAGUCGAGCGGAAAGGCCCAAGCUUGCUUGGGUACUCGAGUGGCGAACGGGUGAGUAACACGUGGGUGAUCUGCCCUGCACUUCGGGAUAAGCCUGGGAAACUGGGUCUAAUACCGGAUAGGACGAUGGUUUGGAUGCCAUUGUGGAAAGUUUUUUCGGUGUGGGAUGAGCUCGCGGCCUAUCAGCUUGUUGGUGGGGUAAUGGCCUACCAAGGCGUCGACGGGUAGCCGGCCUGAGAGGGUGUACGGCCACAUUGGGACUGAGAUACGGCCCAGACUCCUACGGGAGGCAGCAGUGGGGAAUAUUGCACAAUGGGCGCAAGCCUGAUGCAGCGACGCCGCGUGGGGGAUGACGGCCUUCGGGUUGUAAACUCCUUUCGCUAGGGACGAAGCGUUUUUGUGACGGUACCUGGAGAAGAAGCACCGGCUAACUACGUG